GAUGAAGAACGCAGCGAAAUGCGAUAAGUAGUGUGAAUUGCAGAAUUCAGUGAAUCAUCGAAUCUUUGAACGCACAUUGCGCCUCCUGGUAUUCCGGGAGGCAUGCCUGUCCGAGCGUCAUUUCACCACUCAAGCCUCGCUUGGUAUUGGGCAACGCGGUCCGCCGCGUGCCUCAAAUCGACCGGCUGGGUCUUCUGUCCCCUAAGCGUUGUGGAAACUAUUCGCUAAAGGGUGUUCGGGAGGCUACGCCGUAAAACAACCCCAUUUCUAAGGUUGACCUCGGAUCAGGUAGGGAUACCCGCUGAACUUAAGCAUAUCAAUAAGCGGAGGA
rnacentral:misc_RNA from 1 species